AAAGGAAUUGACGGGGGCCCGCACAAGCAGCGGAGCAUGUGGUUUAAUUCGAAGCAACGCGAAGAACCUUACCAAGGCUUGACAUCCCGCGCAAUCCGUGGAAACACGGAGUCCCUUCGGGGCGCGGAGACAGGUGGUGCAUGGUUGUCGUCAGCUCGUGUCGUGAGAUGUUGGGUUAAGUCCCGCAACGAGCGCAACCCCUACACUCAGUUACCAGCGGGUAAAGCCGGGGACUCUGGGAGGACUGCCGGGGACAACUCGGAGGAAGGUGGGGACGACGUCAAAUCAUCAUGCCCCUUAUGUCUUGGGCUACACACGUGCUACAAUGGCCGCAACAGAGGGAAGCGAGGGGGUAACCCGGAGCGGAUCCCAGAAAAGCGGUCCCAGUUCGGAUUGUGGGCUGCAACCCGCCCACAUGAAGUCGGAGUUGCUAGUAAUCGCGAAUCAGCAUGUCGCGGUGAAUGCGUUCCCGGGCCUUGUACACACCGCCCGU
rnacentral:rRNA from 1 species